UACGUAGGGGGCAAGCGUUGUCCGGAAUCAUUGGGCGUAAAGCGCGUGUAGGCGGCCCGGUAAGUCCGCUGUGAAAGUCGGGGGCUCAACCCUCGAAUGCCGGUGGAUACUGUCGGGCUAGAGUGCGGGAGAGGCGAGUGGAAUUCCUGGUGUAGCGGUGAAAUGCGCAGAUAUCAGGAGGAACACCAAUUGCGAAGGCAGCUCGCUGGAGCGUAACUGACGCUGAGACGCGAAAGCGUGGGGAGCAAACAGG
rnacentral:rRNA from 1 species